rnacentral:tRNA from 1 species
GCAGCUCAGUCGGUAGAGUAUGAGACUUUUAAUCUCCGGGUCGUGGGUUCGAGCCCCACGUUGGGCA